UACGUAGGGUGCGAGCGUUGUCCGGAUUUAUUGGGCGUAAAGAGCUCGUAGGCGGUGUGUCGCGUCGGCCGUGAAAACCUGCAGCUUAACUGUGGGCUUGCGGUCGAUACGGGCAUCACUGGAGUUCGGCAGGGGAGACUGGAAUUCCUGGUGUAGCGGUGAAAUUCGUAGAUAUUACGGAAGAACACCAGUGGCGAAGGCGACUUACUGGACACAUAUUGACGCUGAGGUGCGAAAGCGUGGGGAGCAACAGG
rnacentral:rRNA from 1 species